rnacentral:RNase_P_RNA from 1 species
CCAAAUAAGCAGAGAUCGCCCUGCCUUAGGCAGGGAGGAAAGUCCGGACACCGGCCAUUGCUUCGCAAUGGAAAUUCUAAAUCAAAAAUCAUAAAUACUAAACAAUAUUGUUUUAAAUUCUGUAUUUAAGACAUUUGAAUUUGUUUAGAAUUUGGUGCUUAGAAUUUAGUGCUUCCCUUGCGAAGCAAGAAGGAUGGUAACGGGUAAUGCCCGCCCUUUUAAUCGCGAUAUUAAAAGAGGACUAGUGCCACAGAGACAAUACUAGCUUAUGGCCAAUGGCUAAUAGCUAUUUGCUAUAUGCCCUAAGCCAUUUGCCAAACGUGAAAAGUGUUUUGGUGUUAUUUGUUCUCGAGACAAAUAGCUACAAAACUCGGCUCCUGGCAACAGAACAGCCGCGGUAAACUUCUACCUGGUGCAAGGACAAAUUUUCGUUUUUUAUAAAACGAAAAAACAAGUAGUCCGCUUGAGCUUUGGCAGCAAUGCCAGGCCUAGAUAGAUGAUCUCUCUUUUUUAGCUUUCAGUUAAAAAAGAAACAGAAUCCGGCUUACUCAUUUGGAUAU